UUUUCUCUAUCAUUACCUUGG
rnacentral:miRNA from 1 species